rnacentral:lncRNA from 10 species
UUUUGAACACACGGUGACACCUGAGAAGCAUGGUGACUGCUCUGAUGAAGCCUUUUGUUUUGCUUUCAGACAAUGAGUAUAUAUUUAUGGAUUUGGAGCAAAAGCUCAGCAAGUACUUCUCAAAAGAUUGGAAGAAAGAAAGAAAUGAACUGCUCCGUCCAGAGGGGCUGUCCGCAGGGGGACUGUGGUGAGCCCUGAGGCUGCAAGCAGGGAAAUGAGAAACCCAGAGCCCCCUUCGUGGCCUUCCUCCGAGUGCAGCACUACGUGGAAAACGGAAGGGUCAUAAGCGACCACAGGGCACGGCACCUGUACUACUGCCACUUGAAGGAGCGCGUGCUGAGGUCACAGUGCGCUCACCGGGAGGAAGCCUACUUCCUGCUGGCUGCCUGCGCGCUGCAGGCUGACCUGGGCGAGCACCGGGAGUCGGCCCAUGCCGGGAGGUACUUCGAGCCACACUCCUACUUCCCACAGUGGAUCAUCACCAAGAGGGGGAUUGACUACAUCCUCCGGCACAUGCCUACCCUGCACCGUGAGCGCCAGGGCCUGAGCCCCAAGG